UUUGAAAUUCAAACAAACCUGCAAAAGUGUGUCAGUCGCGUCCCAGGCGCUCCGGAGACAUCUCCGCUUGAACGCGAGACGUCUCGGCUGUAUAAAAUUUUUUUUGACGUUGUUUGGAGUCGACUCAGCGCUUUACGGGGACGUCUCUGAAGAAGAGCAGCUUGAAUGCUUGUUUUUCUGUUUUUCUGAGAGAGUCGGCUCGGUACUUUACGGGGACGUCUCGGGAUGUUUGCGCUUUUUGCAUGGGGACGACUCCGCGACGUCGGGGACGACUCUGUAGUUUUAUCACCGAAAAACAAGUCCUCUGGAAUCCCCUGAGAGAGUCGACUCCGCGCUUUCUGGGGACGUCUCGGAAAGUUUGCUUUUUAUGCGUGGGGACGACUCCGCGUCCUUCGGAGACGACUCGCGCGCAUCCCUUGAGAUUGGUCUUUCUGCCGCCUCUGAGAGAGUCGACUCUGCAAAGUCNNNNNNNNNNNNNNNNNNNNNAGGGACGUCUCGGAAAGUUUGCUUUUUAUGCGUGGGGACGACUCUGCGUCCUUCGGAGACGACUCGCGCGCAU
rnacentral:lncRNA from 1 species